GACGAACGCUGGCGGCGUGCUUAACACAUGCAAGUCGAACGGAAAGGCCCUGCUUUUGUGGGGUGCUCGAGUGGCGAACGGGUGAGUAACACGUGAGUAACCUGCCCUUGACUUUGGGAUAACUUCAGGAAACUGGGGCUAAUACCGGAUAGGAGCUCCUGCUGCAUGGUGGGGGUUGGAAAGUUUCGGCGGUCGGGGAUGGACUCGCGGCCUAUCAGCUUGUUGGUGGGGUAGUGGCUUACCAAGGCUUUGACGGGUAGCCGGCCUGAGAGGGUGACCGGCCACAUUGGGACUGAGAUACGGCCCAGACUCCUACGGGAGGCAGCAGUGGGGAAUAUUGCACAAUGGGCGGAAGCCUGAUGCAGCAACGCCGCGUGCGGGAUGACGGCCUUCGGGUUGUAAACCGCUUUCGCCUGUGACGAAGCGUGAGUGACGGUAAUGGGUAAAGAAGCACCGGCUAACUACGUG
rnacentral:rRNA from 1 species